CCCUUAGAUGUUCUGGGAUGCACGCGCGUUACACUGAUUCGUUCAACGAGUUUAUGACCUUGCCUGAUGAGGUGGGGGAAUCUUUUCAAAUCGCAUCGUGAUGGGGAUAGAGUAUUGUAACUGUUAGUCUUCAACGAGGAAUUCCUAGUAAGUACGUGUCAUCAGCUCGUACUGAUUAUGUCCCUGCCCUUUGUACACGCCGCCCGUCGCUCCUACCGAUUGAGUGCUCAGGUGAAUAGUAUGGACUGCAUCAGUGUUCGGUCUCCGAAUGUUGACGCGAGAAAUUCUGUGAAUCUUAUUGCUUAGAGGAAGGAGAAGUCGUAACA
rnacentral:rRNA from 1 species